rnacentral:pre_miRNA from 1 species
AUAGAAGUCACCUGGAAAUCUUGUUAAAAUGCAACUCUGGUUCAGUAAGUCUUAGGCAGGGCUCAAGAUUAUGCAUUUACAACAGGCUCCCACUUGCUGCUUAU